GAAGUAUAGGAGGUCUGCCUGCCCAGUGACAGUUGUUUAACGGCCGCGGCAUCUUGACCGUGCUAAGGUAGCGAAAUCACUUGUCUUUUAAAUAAAGACCUGUAUGAAUGGUGAAACGAGGGCUUAACUGUCUCCUUUUUCAGGUCAGUGAAAUUGAUCUGCCCGUGCAGAAGCGGACAUAAAAAUACAAGACGAGAAGACCCUUUGGAGCUUUAGACAUGUAAUCAACUGUGUUAAAAAUUUUAACUACAAAAAUUAAACUAAACAAUACUGACUACUAGUCUUCGGUUGGGGCGACCACGGGGGAAAACCAAGCCCCCAUGUAGAAUGGGAAACAUCCUAAAACUAAGAAAUACAUUUCUAAGUCACAGAACUUCUGACUUAAAGAUCCGGCAUACGCCGAUUAGCGAACCAAGUUACCCCAGGGAUAACAGCGCAAUCCCCUCCAAGAGCCCGUAUCAACAAGGGGGUUUACGACCUCGAUGUUGGAUCAGGACAUCCUAAUGGUGCAGCCGCUAUUAAGGGUUCGUUUGUUCAACGAUUAAAGUCCUACGUGAUCUGAG
rnacentral:rRNA from 1 species